CUGGUUUUCCAGGCAAAUCCGGAAAAUCAAGGCUGAGGCGUGAUGACGAGGCACUACGGUGCUGAAGCAACAAAUGCCCUGCUUCCAGGAAAAGCCUCUAAGCAUCAGGUAACAUCAAAUCGUACCCCAAACCGACACAGGUGGUCAGGUAGAGAAUACCAAGGCGCUUGAGAGAACUCGGGUGAAGGAACUAGGCAAAAUGGUGCCGUAACUUCGGGAGAAGGCACGCUGAUAUGUAGGUGAAGCGACUUGCUCGUGGAGCUGAAAUCAGUCGAAGAUACCAGCUGGCUGCAACUGUUUAUUAAAAACACAGCACUGUGCAAACACGAAAGUGGACGUAUACGGUGUGACGCCUGCCCGGUGCCGGAAGGUUAAUUGAUGGGGUCAGCGCAAGCGAAGCUCUUGAUCGAAGCCCCGGUAAACGGCGGCCGUAACUAUAACGGUCCUAAGGUAGCGAAAUUCCUUGUCGGGUAAGUUCCGACCUGCACGAAUGGCGUAAUGAUGGCCAGGCUGUCUCCACCCGAGACUCAGUGAAAUUGAACUCGCUGUGAAGAUGCAGUGUACCCGCGGCAAGACGGAAAGACCCCGUGAACCUUUACUAUAGCUUGACACUGAACAUUGAGCCUUGAUGUGUAGGAUAGGUGGGAGGCUUUGAAGUGUGGACGCCAGUCUGCAUGGAGCCGACCUUGAAAUACCACCCUUUAAUGUUUGAUGUUCUAACGUGGACCCGUAAUCCGGGUUGCGGACAGUGUCUGGUGGGUAGUUUGACUGGGGCGGUCUCCUCCUAAAGAGUAACGGAGGAGCACGAAGGUUGGCUAAUCCUGGUCGGACAUCAGGAGGUUAGUGCAAUGGCAUAAGCCAGCUUGACUGCGAGCGUGACGGCGCGAGCAGGUGCGAAAGCAGGUCAUAGUGAUCCGGUGGUUCUGAAUGGAAGGGCCAUCGCUCAACGGAUAAAAGGUACUCCGGGGAUAACAGGCUGAUACCGCCCAAGAGUUCAUAUCGACGGCGGUGUUUGGCACCUCGAUGUCGGCUCAUCACAUCCUGGGGCUGAAGUAGGUCCCAAGGGUAUGGCUGUUCGCCAUUUAAAGUGGUACGCGAGCUGGGUUUAGAACGUCGUGAGACAGUUCGGUCCCUAUCUGCCGUGGGCGCUGGAGAACUGAGGGGGGCUGCUCCUAGUACGAGAGGACCGGAGUGGACGCAUCACUGGUGUUCGGGUUGUCAUGCCAAUGGCACUGCCCGGUAGCUAAAUGCGGAAGAGAUAAGUGCUGAAAGCAUCUAAGCACGAAACUUGCCCCGAGAUGAGUUCUCCCUGACUCCUUGAGAGUCCUGAAGGAACGUUGAAGACGACGACGUUGAUAGGCCGGGUGUGUAAGCGCAGCGAUGCGUUGAGCUAACCGGUACUAAUGAACCGUGAGGCUUAACCUU
rnacentral:rRNA from 1 species